rnacentral:rRNA from 1 species
UACGUAGGCAGCAAGCGUUGUUCGGAGUUACUGGGCGUAAAGAGUGCGUAGGCGGUCCUGUAAGUUUGGUGUGAAAUCUCCCGGCUCAACUGGGAGGGUGCGCCGAAGACUGCAGGGCUUGAGUAUGGGAGAGGUAAGCGGAAUUCCUGGUGUAGCGGUGAAAUGCGUAGAUAUCAGGAGGAACACCGGUGGUGUAGACGGCUUUCUGGACCGUAACUGACGCUGAGACACGAAAGCGUGGGUAGCAAACAGG